AGUGAACGCUGGCGGUAGGCCUAACACAUGCAAGUCGAACGGCAGCACAGGAGAGCUUGCUUUCUGGGUGGCGAGUGGCGGACGGGCGAGGAAUACAUCGGAAUCUACUCUGUCGUGGGGGAUAACGUAGGGAAACUUACGCUAAUACCGCAUACGACCUACGGGUGAAAGCAGGGGAUCUUCGGACCUUGCGCGAUUGAAUGAGCCGAUGUCGGAUUAGCUAGUUGGCGGGGUAAAGGCCCACCAAGGCGACGAUCCGUAGCUGGUCUGAGAGGAUGAUCAGCCACACGGGAACGGAGACACGGUCCAGACUCCUACGGGAGGCAGCAGUGGGGAAUAUUGGACAAUGGGCGCAAGCCUGAUCCAGCCAUACCGCGUGGGUGAAGAAGGCCUUCGGGUUGUAAAGCCCUUUUGUUGGGAAAGAAAUCCAGCUGGCUAAUACCCGGUUGGGAUGACGGUACCCAAAGAAUAAGCACCGGCUAACUUCGUGCCAGCAGCCGCCGUAA
rnacentral:rRNA from 1 species